UAACCUGCCCAAGAGAUCGGGAUAACACCUGGAAACAGAUGCUAAUACCGGAUAAUAACAGAUGAUGCCUAUCAACUGUUUAAAAGAUGGUUCUGCUAUCACUCUUGGAUGGACCUGCGGUGCAUUAGCUAGUUGGUAGGGUAACGGCCUACCAAGGCGAUGAUGCAUAGCCGAGUUGAGAGACUGAUCGGCCACAUUGGGACUGAGACACGGCCCAAACUCCUACGGGAGGCAGCAGCC
rnacentral:rRNA from 1 species